AGUGAACGCUGGCGGUAGACCUAACACAUGCAAGUCGAACGGCAGCACAGUAAGAGCUUGCUCUUACGGGUGGCGAGUGGCGGACGGGUGAGGAAUACAUCGGAAUCUACUUUUUCGUGGGGGAUAACGUAGGGAAACUUACGCUAAUACCGCAUACGACCUACGGGUGAAAGCAGGGGAUCUUCGGACCUUGCGCGAUUGAAUGAGCCGAUGUCGGAUUAGCUAGUUGGCGAGGUAAAGGCCCACCAAGGCGACGAUCCGUAGCUGGUCUGAGAGGAUGAUCAGCCACACUGGAACUGAGACACGGUCCAGACUCCUACGGGAGGCAGCAGUGGGGAAUAUUGGACAAUGGGCGCAAGCCUGAUCCAGCCAUACCGCGUGGGUGAAGAAGGCCUUCGGGUUGUAAAGCCCUUUUGUUGGGAAAGAAAAGCAGCAGGUUAAUACCCCGCUGUUCUGACGGUACCCAAAGAAUAAGCACCGGCUAACUUCGUG
rnacentral:rRNA from 1 species